rnacentral:sRNA from 1 species
UUGUAGUUUCGGUCUCACCACAGUCUAGAGCAUCGCUAGCUGCACGGUUUCAGCUGAAUCCUACAGACACUGCCAGGAAAUUAACCUCAUUCUUUAAAAAAAUAGGGGUGCACUUCGUCUUCGACACCGCCUUCUCAAGGCACUUCAGCCUCCUGGAGAGCCAGCGAGAGUUUGUGCGGCGAUUCCGAGGACAGGCCGACUGCAGACAGGCGCUGCCCCUGCUGGCCUCCGCCUGCCCAGGCUGGAUCUGCUAUGCCGAGAAGACCCACGGCAGUUUCAUCCUCCCCCACAUCAGCACCGCCCGGUCCCCGCAGCAGGUCAUGGGCUCCCUGGUCAAGGACUUCUUCGCCCAGCAGCAGGUAACGGUGUUGGGCCAGCCCCAGACUCGGGCUGGGGAGCGGCCAGAAGUGACUACGCUGGCCUCUUGCCAUGAGGCUGCAGGAAACAGAGUCCUCGCCGUGGUGUGCGGCCUUCCCGAGUACACCUCCACCCUUGUUCCCUCCUGGUUCA